UAACAAACAGAGUUCGUGAGGGUUGAUUAUGUUACAUUUGGUUGCCAUUCUUGGAAUGCUUUAAAAGGAUUAGUUACUCCCUGUUUCAAUGAUUCACACAGCUAUUGAUAACUUUUACGUAACUGGUAAUGAGCUACAAAGUUGGGUCUGCUUUAAGGUUCCUUUCUUUCUUUCAUCCAGAUUAGCAAGGUCGAAGUCCUUUCUUUCAUCCAGAUUAGCUGGCUCAAUGCAAUUAGGGAAUGGCAAGAGGAGUUCGUUGGCAAUAUGAACUGUAGGGAAUUUGUGAAUUUACAUAUUAGUUGUGUGGUUCUAGUAAUUGUUCGGAUGAUACGGUACAGAUAAAAACUCACAAACUCACAGAAAUUGGUAAUAAGAGAAAAGAAACCUUCAAGAAAGUAUCAAACGAGGAGCAACUGUGAUU